AUGUCACCAACUAUGUCAACAUCUUCUCCAGGUUCAGAGUGUUUUGAAUCAGUUGUGCCGGAAUCAGAUAAUCAGAUGAAUCAUGAUACAUUAUCAUCACCUAGAUCGACAAUAUCUCCUGUUUUUCCAUUACAUGAUGUUAAGGAACCAGAUUCACAUAAAGAGAUCAAAGUUUAUGAUUAUCUCCCACAAGACUAUACAUUGACCGACCAUGAUCUAUGUGCUCAUAUAGCAAUAGAAUCAUCUUUGAGAAAAGAAUUGCUGGUUCAGAUAGAUGGAAGUUCUGUCUUGCAACAUCAGUUGAUGUGCCUGCUAGAUAAAAAAGAGUGGGUAAAUGAUGAUGUGAUCAAUGCAUAUAUAUGUUGUAUAAAGGACCAAAUACAUCUCCAGAAUGAUAAUAAAGUAUAUUUUGAGAGUCCAUUUGUUACCUCACUAUUUAAACGAGAUGGCACCCUUGGAAUACAAGAAGAUAGUGCCUUCAUGACAGAGACUGUCCUCGAAUAUAUGCAGCAUGACAUGAUUAAACUUCCAAUAAAUGCCAGCAACACACAUUGGUAUCUAGCUGUUGUGAAUACAAAAAAACGUGAAGUUCAAGUACUAGACUCAUUAUGCUGGAAUUCUGACAGAGAUGAUCUCGCUAAUACGCUACGAGGAAUACAAUUUCAUUUGGACCUUCUUAAAAGUCAAAAUUUGGUAAGCGACGAUUGGAAAGACAUUGAUCUUACUGAAUGGAAGAUCACAGAACAAUUACAAAAGCCAAUUCAAAAAGAUAGUUCUUCAUGUGGUUUAUUUAUGGUUAAAUUUAUGGAAUAUUGCACCGGAUGUGCACUAUCCUACCCAAUUACACAGGAAAUGAUUACUUCUUUCAGGUUUAAGUUAGCUAGCAUACUAUUAUGUUGGAAAACAAACACUGCAGCAAUGACUACAAUCGUUGAAGAAAGUGACGAUGACACCAAGGGAGAUCCUGAUGAUGGUUUAGAUGAUUUUAAAAAAACAAAACAAAAAUUACCAUUAUCUGUUGAAAAUAAAUACAGAUCACUAAUAUCAGUUCUUUCUAAUAUGACCUUACAUGAGUUAACAGCUGGACUCUGUAGCUUCAUUAAAUCAAUCAAUUACACCGAGAUUUUAGAGAAAGUAUGGAUCCAUAGUUCAAAACCAUAUCCAAUUAGCUUGUCUCUAAAAAAACUACAAGGAAUGCUAAAGGAUGAUUUACCCAUGGACCGAGAUUGCUUUAAUUUGAUCGUACGGAAGAUUAUGUUGGAUGACAUCCAAACGACACAAAAAAAGCAAUUGAUAGCAAAGCAUUAUCUGGACAUGAAAUUUUGGAUGACUACUGAUUAUGGAAGGCACCCAGAUUACCGUAAAAAGUUAGAUGUGGAGCAACUAGCAAAUUCUGUUCGUAGUUGGUCUGGUAUCAAUGUUUCAACAUUUAAAUCGAUCCAUAUUCCAGUACAAACCAUGGAUGAAUUCAUUCUAUUCACAUUGGACCAAGAUACCAGAACAGUGUACAUUUUGGACCCUACUCCUAUUAAUCCAAUGUACCGAUACAACCCACUCGCAAAAUAUAUGAAAAAAAUUAUAUGGAUUUCCGAACACUUACAAAAAGCAAUGUCAAAAGCAUGCCCUGGGUCUAGAUGGAACGAGGAUAUUCGCCUAUGGCAACAUAAAAUCCUAGAUGAUAUUCCAGUUUACAACAGGGAAUUGUCUGGUUAUCUUGUUCCCCUAUUCAUGUCCACAUGGGAAGACGAAAGACCACAUUUGCCAUUUUUAAAGGAUGGAUAUGAACUCAGAAAACUAAUUUUGGGCCAAGUGCUAACAUUCAAGGACAAUGAAUGUGAAGAUAACAUGCCUGCUGGUGUACUGGAAUUCAUCAAUUGUAUUAGGAAAAUCCAAAGUAAAACUGGGAGCUCAAUCAGUGGAAGGUGA
rnacentral:rRNA from 1 species